UGGGGUGUGACUCAGUGGUAGAGCAGCCGCCUAGAAUCCCCCAGUGAGGGGCUAUGUCUGUCCUUCAGCAGGAGAAUACUUACUUAGCAUGUGUGAGGCCCUGGGUUCCAUUCCCAGCACCUCAA
rnacentral:tRNA from 1 species